rnacentral:lncRNA from 1 species
UAUGGCCACCUGAUGCUCCUCAUCCACAGAUGAGUUGAGUAGAGAUCGAGGAUGACUAUAAAGAGGCUAAACCUUUGGGGACCCUGCAUGGCCACUCGAUGUUCUUUGCUUAUGGAUGAGUCGAGUGGAGGUCAAUGAUAACUUGGUGAAGAUCGUUGCAAAUUGGCUCAAACCAAUCCCUCAAAGAUAUCAUAGCUCUGGUCGAGACCUUUGAAAUUGUGUUUAGCAUAGCUCUGAUAAUAAUGAUGAUUAUGGGAUAUUCAGAUAUCAAAUUGAAUCUCGAUGACU